GUUGGUAUAGCUCAGUGGUAGAGUACAAGCUUUGUAUGUAUGAUGUCCUGGGUUCAAUCCCCAGGUUGCUGUUG